UAGCCUCUUCGCGUUAUUCGCAGUCCUCUUUACAGAAGUUUUCUCUGGCCAAAACAAUUUUCAACCCACACUCUUAGUAUCAAGCACGUUCGGCUCCAAUAAAUCUUUUUCUUUUUA